CCAGACUCCUACGGGAGGCAGCAGUGGGGAAUAUUGCACAAUGGGGGAAACCCUGAUGCAGCGACGCCGCGUGAGUGAAGAAGUAUUUCGGUAUGUAAAGCUCUAUCAGCAGGGAAGAAAUAGCGACCUUUGGGUCGCCAGACGGUACCUGAUUAAGAAGCCCCGGCUAACUACGUGCCAGCAGCCGCGGUAAUACGUAGGGGGCAAGCGUUAUCCGGAUUUACUGGGUGUAAAGGGAGCGUAGACGGCAGCACAAGUCUGGAGUGAAAUCCCGGGGCUUAACCCCGGAACUGCUUUGGAAACUGUGCGGCUGGAGUGCAGGAGGGGUAAGCGGAAUUCCUAGUGUAGCGGUGAAAUGCGUAGAUAUUAGGAGGAACACCGGUGGCGAAGGCGGCUUACUGGACUGUAACUGACGUUGAGGCUCGAAAGCGUGGGGAGCAAACAGGAUUAGAUACCCUAGUA
rnacentral:rRNA from 1 species